ensembl:snRNA U1 U1 spliceosomal RNA
AUACUUACCUGGCAGGGGAGAUACCAUGAUCACGGAGGUGGUUUUCCCAGGACAAGGCUUAUCCAUUGCACUCCGGAUGUGCUGACCCCUGCGAUUUCCCCAAAUGUGGGUAACUCGACUGCAUAAUUUGUGGUAGUGGGGGACUGAGUUCGUGCUUUCCCCUA